rnacentral:lncRNA from 1 species
UGGGAAUCUCGAUGGUGAAUUUCACCUAUCUUAGCAAGCACAGUGAAUUUCAAAACUUUAUGACAGGCCGGACGUGGUGGCGCACGCCUGUAAUCCCAGCACUUGGGAGGCUGAGGCAGGAGGAUCGAUGCGCGUUCAAGACCAGCCUGGGCUAUAUAGUCUGAACUAGUGAGACUCUGUCUCAAAAAACAAACAAAACAAAAACUUUAUGACAGGUAACUUGCAUUAAUUCCAUUAUACAGUUUCGUAUAUCUCUUAACCUGUUCAGGCUUCUUUCAUUCUUGCAUCAACUCUGAACUGACCAACAUUAUUCAUCCCACGGUACAGAUGAAGAAGAAAACCUGGGUUUGAGUCACAUCUGAAAAGUGCUAGAGCCAGAAAUGAACACUUGCUUCUGGGCAUUGUUGCUUCUCCCAAGUUUGGCAUCAGUGAGAGAGGUUUCAAGUGAAAGACAGCCGUCUCUUGAAUUCCUAAAGCCACCCUUACCCUAUGUGACUUGCACAAAUCUACAGGUUUCCAGGCCAGAAGCUUCCACCUUCACUCGUUCCGUCUCCCAUCUCUGCAGCACAGGAUGCCUGACUGUAGAAUCGUUCCUUUAUGACUACAGCCACCUGGGUGGAAGGAGGAUGACUUGGAGAGAUAAAAUAGAGAACUGGUGUCUUACAGGCACACCACUGCCUUUUCUGGUGCAGCCCUUGGAGAGAUGAGUGGAGCUGAUCUUUCUCAGGGAAAGUAUAAUUCAUAUGCCUGGCUUUGCAUCGUCCUUAACUCUUGAUCCUCAGAAUGGAACCAUCACUCAAACCCCACAUGGAAUCUGAUCAGUAAGGAAUAGAGCCCUUCCUCAUUGAGUGUAUCCGAUGACUUUAACCUGAACAAGUGACAUAGGCUCAUACACAGGUUGCAGUCUACCCAGAUUGAUAGCAACACUGGAAGAGAAACGGUCCAGGUGUGAUGGGUGCCCAUUAGUAACAUUCUCGUGGAGAAAAGCACAAAGUCCUAUUUAUCAAAGCUAAAUACUAUGACUCUGCUUGCCUUUUGCUGCAGUCCAAGUCAGGAUAGGGUUAUCAAAGCCCAAGCAGUUCAAUUCAGGGAAGCAGGUGAACCAGACACAUCCACCCGGCCUGUCCUUGGCCUCCCACUUACUGCGGUAUAAAAUACAUCUUCGCAAAGUGUCUGACUUCACCAUCCAUCCCUCCCCAAAUAUUUACAUAAAUCAAAUAUAUUUCCU